GUAUUGAUUUAUUUUGACCAUAAGGUCUAAUAUAACGACAUUCUGUUAAACUUGUUUGAAGGGUGUAUAAAAACAUAGACACAGACUAAAGUCCGGCCUACAAUGAGUUCACAGGUGAAUUGAAAAGGCGGAGUGCACAUGCCCCGAAAGGCCAGCAACAUCCUAAGGAUUUCAAUAAUGAUCCUUCCGCAGGUUCACCUACGGAAA
rnacentral:misc_RNA from 1 species